AUGCAGCGACGCAGCGUGCGGGAUGACGGCCUUCGGGUUGUAAACCGCUUUCAGCAGGGAAGAAGCGAAAGUGACGGUACCUGCAGAAGAAGUACCGGCUAACUACGUGCCAGCAGCCGCGGUAAUACGUAGGGUACGAGCGUUGUCCGGAAUUAUUGGGCGUAAAGAGCUCGUAGGUGGUUGGUCACGUCUGCUGUGGAAACGCAACGCUUAACGUUGCGCGUGCAGUGGGUACGGGCUGACUAGAGUGCAGUAGGGGAGUCUGGAAUUCCUGGUGUAGCGGUGAAAUGCGCAGAUAUCAGGAGGAACACCGGUGGCGAAGGCGGGACUCUGGGCUGUAACUGACACUGAGGAGCGAAAGCAUGGGGAGCGAACAGGAUUAGAUACCCUGGUAGUCCAUGCCGUAAACGUUGGGCACUAGGUGUGGGGGACAUUCCACGUUCUCCGCGCCGUAGCUAACGCAUUAAGUGCCCCGCCUGGGGAGUACGGUCGCAAGGCUAAAACUCAAAGGAAUUGACGGGGGCCCGCACAAGCGGCGGAGCAUGCGGAUUAAUUCGAUGCAACGCGAAGAACCUUACCAAGGCUUGACAUACACUGGACCGUUCUGGAAACAGUUCUUCUCUUUGGAGCUGGUGUACAGGUGGUGCAUGGUUGUCGUCAGCUCGUGUCGUGAGAUGUUGGGUUAAGUCCCGCAACGAGCGCAACCCUCGUUCUAUGUUGCCAGCACGUG
rnacentral:rRNA from 1 species